rnacentral:rRNA from 1 species
AGGUUGGCUCAGAAGCAGCCAUCCUUUAAAGAGUGCGUAACAGCUCACUAGUCGAGUGACCCUGCGCCGAAAAUGUACCGGGGCUAAGCCUGAUACCGAAACUGCGGAUUGUAGGAAACUAUAGUGGUAGGGGAGCGUUGUAUACGAGCAGAAGCCGUACCGUGAGGAGCGGUGGAUUGUAUAGAAGUGAGAAUGCCGGUGUGAGUAGCGAGAUGUAGGUGAGAAUCCUACACACCGAAAGCCCAAGGAUUCCAGGGGAAGGUUCGUCCGCCCUGGGUAAGUCGGGACCUAACGCGAGGCCGAAAGGCGUAGUGGAUGGAAAGCAGGCGAAAGAUUCCUGCACCCGUAUAUGGAGCGAAGGAGUGACGGAGACGGAUAGUGUGACCCUCUUAAUGGAUUGAGGGCGAAGCGAAGCGGCUGGUUACCAGGCAAAUCCGGUAACCAAAAGGCUAGAGCGUGACAGGUAAGCGAAAUCUUAGGAAAGUAGCGAAGCACAUGAUGACGGCUUCCAGGAAAAGCUUCUGGCAAUGCAUAUGCGGCCCGUACCAAAACCGACACAGGUGGGCAGGGAGAGAAUCCCGAGGUGAGCGAGAGAACUGUUGCCAAGGAACUCGGCAAAAUGACUCCGUAAGUUAGCGAGAAGGAGUGCUUAAGCAAUUAAGCCGCAGUGAAGAGGCCCAAGCGACUGUUUAACUAAAACACAGCUCUCUGCGAAGUCGCAAGACGAAGUAUAGGGGGUGACACCUGCCCGGUGCUGGAAGGUUAAGAGGAUCUGUUAAGAGCGAUCUGAAGCAGUGAUCCGAAGCCCCAGUGAACGGCGGCCGUAACUAUAACGGUCCUAAGGUAGCGAAAUUCCUUGUCAGGUAAGUUCUGACCCGCACGAAAGGUGUAACGAUUUGGGCGCUGUCUCGGCAGCAGACUCGGUGAAAUCUUAGUACCUGUGAAAAUGCAGGUUACCCGCAACUAGACGGAAAGACCCCAUGGAGCUUUACUGCAGCCUGAUAUUGAAUUCUGGUCAUACAUGUACAGGAUAGGUGGGAGACAAAGAGACGUGCACGCCAGUGUACGAGGAGUCGACGUUGGGAUACCACUCUUGUGUGACCGGGGUUCUAACCUGGUAUCGAGAACAGGUACGGGGAGAGUGUCAGGUGGGCAGUUUGACUGGGGCGGUCGCCUCCCAAAGAGUAACGGAGGCGCCCAAAGGUACGCUCAGAUUGGAUGGAAACCAAUCGUCGAGUGCAAUUGCAGAAGCGUGCUUGACUGUGAGACAAACAAGUCGAACAGGGACGAAAGUCGGGAAUAGUGAUCCGGCGGUGCCGAAUGGAAGGGCCGUCGCUCAACGGAUAAAAGCUACCCUGGGGAUAACAGGCUGAUCUCGCCCAAGAGUUCACAUCGACGGCGAGGUUUGGCACCUCGAUGUCGGCUCAUCGCAUCCUGGAGCUGGAUUCGGUUCCAAGGGUUGGGCUGUCCGCCCAUUAAAGCGGUACGCGAGCUGGGUUCAGAACGUCGUGAGACAGUUCGGUCCCUAUCUGU